rnacentral:lncRNA from 1 species
UCUAUUUUCAUAUGGAUCUGAACUCAUGUCUACAUCUUAUUUGAGGCGGCUGCAAUCAUCGAAAUACUACCGAGAGGUUUUCUGUCCAAAGGUGCUGCGUCACCUUAUUUUGGCCCAAUGGGUCGUGUAUCAAGUUGGGUCCAUUAGGGACAUGUCCUAGGGUUGAAGCAUGACCCCAACACCCCCCGGUCGUGUUCCUAGGUAUUAAUAAGGGUUAGAGCUGCCACAAACAGAUUGGGUUUUGUUUUGUUGAAAGUUUAGCCAUUGCUACUUCCUUGUAGACGCGUGUGUCAACUAGACCAUCUGUUCUACUCGAUUCAGAACCCCAACUUUGUGAGUUCAGAUUUGUUUCCAUCUCUAUAUUUGCAAUUGAGUUGCUUGUUAUACUUGUUCUUGCUUGUUCCUCGAUUGCUUGCAGGAAUUACCCUAGUGGUUUUGUUGAUCGUGCACCACAAGAUCGCGGCGAUCAUUGGAGGUGGUGUAUCGGUUGCUAAGGCGCACCUUGGAAGGCUGUAGUCGGGCCGUGAACGUCGUCUCCAUCGACCAAUCGAGUUAUCCCACACCUCUCAUCGGAAUAUGGGAAUCAACCCUAGCGGGUUCAUAUCAUAUGGUAUUAGAGCAAGGUUUAUCGGUGAGAGAUUUCCAAUCCUUCGCUGUUUUACUUUCCUAUAGUCCAGAAAAAGCCAAAAAAAAUAGUAGAUUUGUUGACUCGCAAUCUUAUAAACCCUUUGAGCCUUUGCUAGCACUGCUUAGUUAGGGCUUAUUGAGUUUUUGGUGGCAUCGGUUGUGUCGAGUUACUGGUCUUAGUUUUAGUCCUUUAGAGUUUCGAGUUCUUGUCACGUUCUAGUCACAGCUGUGUGCUACCAUAUAAAACCUUUUGUUAGCUGAAUCUGAAUACAUAUUUGUGCUCAAGUCCGAGUAGGAUUCCGAGUUUGUUUAAGACCGAAUCCCACGUGGUGCUGAGUUCGAGUUGGAAUCGGUUUGGAGUCCGAAUUGACAGCUGCCUUGUUGCUGUCUUGAGUCUAAAUCUGAUUUCUAUCCUUUCGGAAAAAGUUUGUGUGGUAUGUGACUCUUGUGAAGUCCUUUUGUUCAUAUAAUCAGAUUUGAGGAUCCCCUGAAAAAAAGAAGAACAAAACAGAACAAAAAAGAAGAAAAGAAAGACAAAAAAAUAGGAAGAAAAGGAGCUGUUCGUUGUGCUUCCCUAUUGUUUUCCGGUGGUGUGAUGUGACUUUCUUUGUGUCCAGGCUCACGUCUCUACCACGGUCUAGGCUAGGACCAGCACAGUACCACCGUUGAACUAUUAUUCAGCUUGCUUUUGUGACUAACAUGGUGCUAGUAUAUUUCCUUGCUUAAGCCCACCUACAGCUCCACAUAUUCGACUACAGCUUAACAGGUUUUUGUUGCUGCGGCACCAAUACACUUCGCUCCAUGGUUGUAGACUUGUUGGUUGCCGUCACCUCCUGUUUGGCUUGGUAAGAACUUGUAAGGGCUUGUUUUAGAAAGAUGAGUUUGAGAGAAAUUACAAUCGAGAAAUCCUAGUAGUUGACAUGAGGAUAAAUACAUAUUGUUUUGUGUUUCUUGUUUUCUACUAAUCAUGGCAGGUGAUACGGAGAUUUUGGAGCCAUUGAAACUAGACCCUCAUAUUCAGGAUGUCAUUCAACACUUUCCGUUAUAUGAUGGUAUGUUUGAUCCUGAAGCUUAUAUUGGGAGUUAAAAGUAGAGAAUGAAUUUGAUGAGCAUGAUCUAUCUGAGAAACAAAAGAUUUAUAUUGCCUCUAAUAUUUUGACUAAAUUUGCCUUGCUACAAUGGAAACACAUUUGUAGGUGUAACAAAGUUCUAGAAUCUUGGGAAAACUUCAAAUGUCUUUUUAGAGAUGCAUUCAUUCCUGAAUAUUAUGCUAAUUAUUUGCUUACAAAAUUAGACAACUUGAGGCAAGGUAGUAGGACUGUGAAAGAAUACUUCUAUGAUUUUAAAAUUUGUAUCAUGUUUGGUGGAUUAGAUGAGUGCAUGGAAGAUGUUAUGAGUAGGUUCAUGAGAGGGCUCAAUUCUGAAAUUCAAACCUUGUUAAUUAACAAUUCUUAUAGCCAUAUUGGUCAAUUGUUUUGUCUUGCUCUCAAUGUUGAAAAGGAGAUUCUAUUAUCUGUGAAUACUUGCAAGAAUGAUGUGACCCAUUAUAUCCAAAAUUUGUUCACUCUCCAUGCUAAUGAAGAGCAACAAAUAGUGGAACCCAUUGCUGAUUUUCCUUUAUCACAAAAUGAAUUACUUGCUGUUCCUUAUAAUAAAGAGGACUUAUGUGCUGAUGAUUCUUUUACUCCUAUACCACAAGUAGCAAAUAAGUGUGAUACUUUUAGUUUGGAACCAUACAAAUGUGCUGAAGAUAAACUUUUUCAUCCUAUUACUUGUGCACAAGAUGAACUGAAUUUGCUAUUCUCUUUAAAUACUUUGGGUUAUAUUGAAUUUGAUGUUCUAUGUAAUCUAAGUUGUCUAAAAGAGAAACUUAAAUUUGAUUCUGGUUUGCCAAGCUUUAAUCAUUGUUCUCUUCAUCCAAUUGGCAAAUACGACAGCAAAGGAGAAUACUUGGUGCAUAAAGUUUAUAUUUGCUCUAAUCUGAAAUAUCCUUUUGGACAAAUAUACCAUGAUCAAAUAGAGGGCUGCACUAACACUAAUAAUGUCUUGCAAAGUUUUUCUAGUUUUUCCCAUAUGCAACAGGGUAAGACCAAAGAAGGGGAGCAUUACCGAUUGUGGCCAUGGAGCAUGGUCGUCACUCCGUGCUCCAACAUCAAAGCAAGCACCUUAGAAUGCCAUUGGAGCAAGUCGAGGACGAUUUGCAGCCAAGAAGGGGAGAAUGAUGAGGACAUCACCUUUUCGGAUACAACCACAUUAGUAAAUUUUGAUUCACAGGUGAAACAAUUCUUUACCAUGAUUGUAUUUGAUACAUUUGAUGAAUUGAUGUUGCACUAUGAUGUGUGUUCGUUGUCCAUUUCAGAAAUACAUACAUGGAUCACAAAUAGUAUUAAACACACAUGGAAGGUAUGGAGGACCAAAGAAGUAGAUUGGGGGCCAAGUCCAAGUAUUCCCAAAAUUCUCCACCAGGCCACCAUGUCACUUUUGGCCUAAGGAAAGAAAGACAUCCAAUCCAACACGUUUUGGGGCUGGAUUCGGACUGCAACUCUGUGCCAACUUGCAACAGCUGCCACGACCACAUCCGGACUCCAUUUUGAGCGUUCAAUUACUCCUUGAAAUCCUUAUGAAGUCUAUUUUCAUAUGGAUCUGAACUCAUGUCUACAUCUUAUUUGAGGCGGCUGCAAUCAUCGAAAUACCACCGAGAGGUUUUCUGUCCAAAGGUGCUGUGUCGCCUUAUUUUGGCCCAAUGGGCCGUGUAUCAAGUUGGGUCCAUUAGGGACAUGUCCUAGGGUUGAAGCAUGACCCCAACACCCCCCGGUCAUCUUCCUAGGUAUUAAUAAGGGUUAGAGCCACCACAAACAUAUUGGGUUUUGUUUUGUUGAAAGUUUAGCCAUUGCUACUUCCUUGUAGACGCGUGUGUCGACUAGACCAUCUGUUCUACUCGAUUCAGAACCCCAACUUUGUGAGUUCAGAUUUGUUUCCAUCUCUAUAUUUGCAAUUGAGUUGCUUGUUAUACUUGUUCUUGCUUGUUCCUCGAUUGCUUGUAGAAAUUACCCUAGUGGUUUGGUUGAUCGUGCACCACAAGAUCGCGGCAACCAUUGGAGGUGGUGUAUCGGUUGCUAAGGCGCAGCUUGGAAGGCUGUAGUCGGACCGUGAACGUCGUCUCCAUCGACCAAUCGAGUUAUCCCACGCCUCUCAUUGAAAGAUCAGGAAUCAACCCUAGCGGGUUCAUAUCACAGGGUGUGGUGGAGGUGGUGGUCGGCGGGUGUGGUGGUGGC